rnacentral:rRNA from 1 species
UGAACGCUGGCGGUAUGCUUAACACAUGCAAGUCGAACGAACAAGGCUGGAGCUUGCUUCAGCUGCGUUAGUGGCAAACGGGUGAGUAACACGUGGGAAUCUACCCAUCAGUACGGAAUAACAUUUGGAAACAAAUGCUAAUACCGUAUAUUCUCUACGGAGGAAAGAUUUAUCGCUGAUGGAUGAGCCCGCGCAAGAUUAGGUAGUUGGUAGGGUAAUGGCCUACCAAGCCGACGAUCUUUAGCUGGUCUGAGAGGAUGAUCAGCCACACUGGGACUGAGACACGGCCCAGACUCCUACGGGAGGCAGCAGUGGGGAAUAUUGGACAAUGGGCGAAAGCCUGAUCCAGCAAUACCGCGUGAAUGAUGAAGGCCCUAGGGUUGUAAAGUUCUUUUAAUAGGGAAGAUAAUGACGGUACCUAUAGAAAAAGCCCCGGCUAACUCC